rnacentral:rRNA from 1 species
UACGGGGGGAGCAAGCGUUGUUCGGAUUUACUGGGCGUAAAGGGCGCGUAGGCGGCCAGCACAAGUCAGUUGUGAAAUCUCCGAGCUUAACUCGGAAAGGUCAACUGAUACUGUGCGGCUAGAGUGCAGAAGGGGCAACUGGAAUUCUUGGUGUAGCGGUGAAAUGCGUAGAUAUCAAGAGGAACACCUGCGGCGAAGGCGGGUUGCUGGGCUGACACUGACGCUGAUGCGCGAAAGCUAGGGUAGCAAACGGG